CCUACGGGUGGCAGCAGUGGGGAAUAUUGGGCAAUGGGCGCAAGCCUGACCCAGCAACGCCGCUUGAAGGAAGAAGGCUUUCGGGUUGUAAACUUCUUUUCUCAGGGACGAAGCAAGUGACGGUACCUGAGGAAUAAGCCACGGCUAACUACGUGCCAGCAGCCGCGGUAAUACGUAGGUGGCAAGCGUUAUCCGGAUUUACUGGGUGUAAAGGGCGUGUAGGCGGGAAAGCAAGUCAGAUGUGAAAACCAUGGGCUCAACCUGUGGCCUGCAUUUGAAACUGUUUUUCUUGAGUACUGGGGAGGCAGACGGAAAUCCUAGUGUAGCGGUGAAAUGCGUAGAUAUUAGGAGGAACACCAGUGGCGAAGGCGGUCUGCUGGACAGCAACUGACGCUGAGGCGCGAAAGCGUGGGGAGCAAACAGGAUUAGAUACCCCAGUAGUC
rnacentral:rRNA from 1 species